AGCCUGAACGCUGGCGGCGUGGCUAAGACAUGCAAGUCGUACGGGCGCAGCAAUGCGUCAGUGGCGAACGGGUGAGUAAUGUAUCGCUAACGUGCCCCUCUGCCUGGGAUAGCCGUCCGAAAGGACGGGUAAUACCGGAUAAGACCACAAUCCCGCAUGGGAUGGUGCUCAAAGGAGUAAUCCGCAAAGGGAGCGGGCGAUAUCGUAUCAGCUAGUUGGUGAGGUAACGGCUCACCAAGGCGACGACGCGUAGCCGGGCGUGAGAGGUCGGCCGGCCGACAUUGGGACGUGAGACACUGCCCAGACUCCUACGGGGGCGUGCAGUAACGAAUCUUCCGCAAUGCACGAAAGUGUGACGGAGCGACGCCGCGUGGAGGACGAAGUUCUUCGGAAUGUAAACUCCUGUCAGGGGCAGCCAAGUUCUGAGGCGCCCAGAGGAAGGCACGGCUAACUCUGUGCCAGCAGCCGCGGU
rnacentral:rRNA from 1 species